rnacentral:rRNA from 1 species
GAUGAACGCUGGCGGCGUGCCUAAUACAUGCAAGUCGAGCGAACAGACGAGGAGCUUGCUCCUCUGACGUUAGCGGCGGACGGGUGAGUAACACGUGGAUAACCUACCUAUAAGACUGGGAUAAUUUCGGGAAACCGGAGCUAAUACCGGAUAAUAUAUUGAACCGCAUGGUUCAAUAGUGAAAGACGGUUUUGCUGUCACUUAUAGAUGGAUCCGCGCCGCAUUAGCUAGUUGGUAAGGUAACGGCUUACCAAGGCAACGAUGCGUAGCCGACCUGAGAGGGUGAUCGGCGACACUGGAACGGAGACACGGUCCAGAGUCCUACGGGAGGCAGCAGUAGGGAAUCUGCCGCAAUGGGCGAAAGCCUGACGGAGCAAGGCCGCGUGAGUGAUGAAGGUCUUCGGAGCGUAAAACUCUGUUACUAGGGAAGAACAGAUGUGGAAGUAACUAUGCACGUCUUGACGGUACCUAAUCAGAAAGCCACGGCUAACUACGUG